rnacentral:lncRNA from 1 species
AGCAGAUAAUAUACUUCAAUACAAGUGAUGCAUCUGCCUAUGCCAGGAUCCUCAGAAGAAGCAGCCCAUGUGGCAACUGAGGUGUGAAUCCAGUGGAUAUGAACUUUGCCUCAAAGAAAAUGAGCCAGCUGACACCUGAUGCCAGAAAUGCAAUGGAAUUGCCAGGAGGCAGAGGGGCUAUGCAGCCAGACACAGAGCAAAGUUCAUUCCACGGAAACGACAGCAAGGACUCCUCCGCAGCCACUGCUGGACUCCAGAAUGUGAUGACCACCAUGAGAACUCCACCAGCUGUGAUGCUGAGCCUACCUCUGCUGCCCUUGGACACUCACUCCCAAA